rnacentral:rRNA from 1 species
AGCGAACGCUGGCGGCAGGCCUAACACAUGCAAGUCGAACGAACUCUUCGGAGUUAGUGGCGGACGGGUGAGUAACACGUGGGAACGUGCCUUUUGGUUCGGAAUCACUCAGGGAAACUUGUGCUAAUACCGAAUGUGCCCUUCGGGGGAAAGAUUUAUCGCCCUUAGAGCGGCCCGCUUCGGAUUAGCUAGUUGGUGAGGUAACGGCUCACCAAGGCGACGAUCAGUAGCUGGUCUGAGAGGAUGACCAGCCACACUGGGACUGUGACACGGCCCAGACUCCUACGGGAGGCAGCAGUGGGGAAUCGUGCGAAAUGGGCGAAAGCCUGACGCAGCCAUGCCGCGUGAAUGAUGAAGGUCGUAGGAUUGUAAAAUGCUUUCACCGGGGACGAUAAUGACGGUACCCGGAGAAGAAGCCCCGGCUAACUUCGUG